CACGUAGGAGGCUAGCGUUAUCCGGAUUUACUGGGCGUAAAGCGCGUGUAGGCGGCUCGGAAAGUUGGAUGUGAAAGCUCCUGGCUUAACUGGGAGAGGUCGUUCAAUACUUCCGGGCUUGAGAGUGGUAGAGGGAGGUGGAAUUCCGAGUGUAGUGGUGAAAUGCGUAGAUAUUCGGAGGAACACCAGUGGCGAAAGCGGCCUCCUGGACCAUUUCUGACGCUCAGACGCGAAAGCUAGGGUAGCAAACGGGAUUAGAAACCCUUGUAGUCC
rnacentral:rRNA from 1 species